rnacentral:rRNA from 1 species
CCUACGGGUGGCAGCAGUGAGGAAUAUUGGACAAUGGCCGCAGGGCUGAACCAGCCAAGCCGCGUGAGGGAUGACGGUCCUAUGGAUUGUAAACCUCUUUUGUCAGGGAGCAAAAGACGCCACGCGUGGCGUUCCGAGAGUACCCGAAGAAAAAGCAUCGGCUAACUCCGUGCCAGCAGCCGCGGUAAUACGGAGGGUGCGAGCGUUAUCCGGAUUUAUUGGGUGUAAAGGGUGCGCAGGCGGAAGAGCAAGUCAGCGGUAACAUUGAGGGGCUCAACCUCUUCGAGCCGUUGAAACUGGUGUUCUUGAGUGAGUGAGAGGGAGGCGGAAUGCGUGGUGUAGCGGUGAAAUGCAUAGAUAUCACGCAGAACUCCGAUUGCGAAGGCAGCAUACCGGCGCUCAACUGACGCUCAUGCACGAAAGUGUGGGUAGCGAACAGGAUUAGAUACCCCAGUAGUC